rnacentral:rRNA from 1 species
UACAGAGGUCUCAAGCGUUGUUCGGAUUUAUUGGGCGUAAAGAGCUCGUAGGCGGCUUGUUGCGUCGUCCGUGAAAACCUGUGGCUCAACUACAGGCUUGCGGUCGAUACGGGCGGGCUGGAGUUCGGUAGGGGAGACUGGAAUUCCUGGUGUAGCGGUGAAAUGCGCAGAUAUCAGGAGGAACACCGGUGGCGAAGGCGGGUCUCUGGGCCGAUACUGACGCUGAGGAGCGAAAGCGUGGGGAGCGAACAGG